UGCUAUUUUCAACCACGAGCUAUUGCCAUUAGGAGCUUGCUCUUAUAGAAAAUAAGCCCGCGCGGUUGAGUUACAUGUGCGUGAGCUGCCCGUAGCACUGGGAUAACUCCGGGACACCCGCCCUAACACCGGAUAGGUCUUGCCCCCCGUGGAUACAAGUUGAAAGACGGCUUCCCAUGGUCUUAUGGAUGGACCCACGUGACAUUAGUAGUUGGAGAGGUAACGGUUCACCAAGGACACGAUGCUUACCCAACCUGAGAGGGCGAUGGGCCACUCUGAGACUGACACACGGCCCACACUCCUACGGGAGGCAGCAAUAGGGAAUCUUCCGCAAUGGACAAAAGUCUGACAGAGCAACGCCGCGUGAGUAAUGAAGGCUUUCGGGUCAUAAAACUCUGUUGUUAGGGAAAAACAAGUGCUACUAGAAUAAGCUGGCACCUUGACGGUACCUAACCAGAAAGCCACGGCUAUCUACGUGCCAGCACCCGCGAAAAUACGUAUGUGGCACGCGUUAUCCGGAAUUAUUGCGCGUAAAAGCGCGCGCAGGUGGUUUUCUUAAGUCAGAUGUGAAAGCCCACGGCUCACCCGUGGAGGGUCAUUGAAAAACUGGAACACUUGAGUGCAAAAAGAAGAAAGUGAAAUUCCAUGUGUAGCGGAGAAGUGCAUAGAGAUAUGGAAGAACACCAGUGGCGAAGGCGACUUUCUGGUUCUGUAACUGACACUGGAGGCGCGAAAGCGUGAGAACAAAACGAGAUUAGAUACCCCUGGUACCCCACGCCGAAAAACUAUGAGCUGCUAAGUGUUAGGGUCUUCCCCCCCUUUUAGCGCUGAAAUUAACACAUAUAUAACCACUCCGCCUGGAGAACACCGGCCGCGAGGCAUAUAAUCUUAAUGAGUAGUUGGCGGGAGGCCCCGCACAUCGGUGGGAACGUGUGUUUUAAUUCGAAGCACGAGAAAAACUCCUUACGUGUUGUGUACUUCCUUAGAACAACCCUAAAAAUAAGAGUCUCUCCCCCUUCCGGGAAAAAAAGUUGACGAGGUGGCUCAAUGGUUCUCCCGUCAACUCUGGUGUCUA
rnacentral:rRNA from 1 species